AUUGAACGCUGGCGGAAUGCUUUACACAUGCAAGUCGAGCGGCAGCGCGGCCUUCGGGCUGGCGGCGAGCGGCGAACGGGUGAGUAAUGCAUCGGAACAUGCCCAGUCGUGGGGGAUAACACUUCGAAAGAAGUGCUAAUACCGCAUACGUCCUGAGGGGGAAAGCGGGGGAUCGCAAGACCUCGCGCGAUUGGAGUGGCCGAUGUCAGAUUAGCUAGUUGGUGGGGUAAAGGCCUACCAAGGCGACGAUCUGUAGCUGGUCUGAGAGGAUGAUCAGCCACACUGGGACUGAGACACGGCCCAGACUCCUACGGGAGGCAGCAGUGGGGAAUUUUGGACAAUGGGGGCAACCCUGAUCCAGCCAUUCCGCGUGAGUGAAGAAGGCCUUCGGGUUGUAAAGCUCUUUCGGCAGGAACGGAACGGUGGGCUCUAACAUAGUCCGCUAAUGACGGUACCUGAAGAAGAAGCACCGGCUAACUACGUG
rnacentral:rRNA from 1 species